ensembl:snRNA U6 U6 spliceosomal RNA
GUGCUCGCUUUGGUGGUACAUAUACUAAAAUUGGAACAAUAUAGAAAGGAUUAGCAUGGUCCCUACGUAAGGGUGACAGUUUACCUCCUGGAUGUUUUUGGUGAGUUU